UUGCUUGCUGAAACAGAAUUCUAUUUCGAGAACUCAAUCGCUCUGCAGGAAACAAAAAUGGAAAUCGAGGUUUGGGAAGAUCUGUCACUUCCCCGACUUGAGUGGUGCAGGCUGGGGGCGGAGACUCGGGACUACCGAGAGGCCCUUUCUCCCACCUCAGCUCCUUUCCCGGGACUUCCAAAAGGAAUUACUCACCUCUCCCCCUCUUCCCCCACACCCAUCCCCACUCGCCCGCCGGCCCCUUUCCGCACCUCCUUUUCCCUUCAAGUGAGAAAAGCUAGUUCCUGAGCCAGUGAAGUCCGUCCCCUCGCCCCUCCCGCUCCCACACCGGUCCCCCCGCCAGCCACCGUUACUGCCACCACCUCGGUUCCACUCAAUCGAUUUUUGCUGCAUGUCAACACUUAUUACCGUUAGGAUUUCAUGAACAGCGUUAUGAUGAGGAAUUGAAGACUCCUGUCAACAGCUAUGUGUGUGAGCUUGGAAGCAGAUCCUGCAGCUCUUCAAAUGAUUGCAGGCCUGGCUGACAACUUCUCUGCAACCUAAGUGGCUCCCAGGAUCCUGAUCCUCAAACCUGUAUGAGAUAAUAAAUAUUUAUUGUCUUAAGAUGUUA